rnacentral:misc_RNA from 1 species
UUCAUAUGUGUGAAAACGUGAACACGCUACGAGUCGUGGUUUCUAGGGCUUCAUUUCAUCAUUUUUGUAAAUCGUCGGAGAUUUUGAAAAGUAAAUUCGGGCAUAAUCAAAGGAUAAGAACAAUAUAAGAUCUUUAAAAUAGUAUGAGUGGCGUGAAUCACGCAACUGUUCGAGUACACUCACCACCUUCACCUAGACUCGAGGCAUCAUCAAUAACAACUCGUCAAAACUAAAACUUACCUUCGAUAUCAAAGAUAUAUAGCCUUCGCAGAAAUUGCUGUAACCACGAGUUACGACUUUCUUUAGGACCUUUCCAUCGUUCUCAAGCCAUUUCUCGACGAAAGUUGAAUCAAAAUAUGAAAUAUUUUAAGAAAUUUCGGCCACGCGACAGAAUCUAUGACUCCCCCAGCCGUAGUGACUAAUCCAGCCUCGACUUAAUGCGUCACGCAAUCCAAGAUGGCGCUGCGUGAUAAAAGUCUAAUGACUUGCUUCUCUUUGAGAGAAAGAACAUCUGUCUGAAGUUUGGACGCUUUCAACGUAGGAAAGAUACUCAAGAAGAAACGUUAUCAUAACGAAAGUUUCAGCUGCAACUACUGAAGGAUAUGUCCGCCGCUUCAGAUUAUCCGGAGAUCGUGCCGAAGAGUGCAUCUGAGGCUAGAGGAAUAGACUUUUGUGGUACUAAACACAGCUUCUAUAUUAUCCGAUCUGAUGUGGGUGUCUACAUGAGGUGCAAAGAUAUUCACGCUGGUCAAGAUAUCAAGAUUCACCAUCUAAGUGAGGCCUGUAGAUGGGGCGAUCACUACUUGGCCACUGACUCUUUUUUUUACAUCAUUAAAGGAGAUGAAUAUCGCAGAGUUACCGACCUGAGUAAAGACGAGGACGCUGUGGUUUACUCUCUUCAUCGCAACUGUCGCGGAGGAAGCGGCUACUACUCUGCCUUUGGUAAUUGGUACAUCGUAUUUGCCAACAGAGGUACCUACAGACGAGUGAGUAACAUGAACAAAGAUGAAGACGCAGUUGAAUAUAAGAUCCAUCAAGUGUUCCAAGAUGGCAUCUAUUUCUGGGGUACCAAUGAUUAUGUGUACUGUCUGAAGCAGGCUGGAAAAUGGGGUGUCACCUAUCACAGAAGCACCAAUAUGAACUUGAACAAAGAUUGCGGUGACUUCAGCGUUCACGAGUCAGUGCUCAAGUUUAUCCCUGGUGGUAUAGCACACACCCAUGGAAAAGUGUUCGGGUAUUGGAAAGAUGUAAAAUGUCUUCAAAAUGACUCCGACACCGCCAUUGAAUUGGAAAAAACCAUCAAGAAAACCGUUGGAUUUGACAGGAGCACAAUGUCCUCCAUAGAGUUCGAAUGGUCCAUCGAGAUGGGAAUAAGCGAAGAAGUAGGAAUCAAAGCCCAAAUUUCAGAAUUGAUUGAGGCUCUCUGUAAAGUUCAGUAUAGCCUCAAAGAGACGUUUGGUGGAAAGAUGGUCAACACAGAGCAGUUCAAGUGGAGUGACAUCACUAAAGAAGACGAAAACGUUGAGCUGAAAAUUCCACCGAACACCAAGCUGUACGUUUGGCAGUUUCAAAUGGGCUUUGGAAAGAAGAAGAACCUCUUCAGUUGUGACACUGCGAUCACAUACGGUAAAACACCACCUGAGGAAACAUUAAAGUAUUUUAUGCAUUAACCGUCAUCCUGAGUUGGGCUGAAUCGGCGCCUGUUUAAGAGUGUUUAAAACAGUGACACAAACGAACCUCAGUAUGAGAACUAUACUGUGCUGACAUGUCCAAAAGCUUAUCAGUACUGCUGUUAAGCGUAAGGCAAGUGAACUUUGUUUGAAACGCGAUAGAUCGAGAGUUUAAAGUGAACAUAAGUGCAUAUAUUUUUUAAUUUCGUGGUUGCCCCUCAUUGGUUCAAACAUGCUGCACCUAUUUAAAAGGAUAUUAAAGAACAGUUAAGUGUGAGACAUGCGAUUGUACCAGGGUCAGAAUAGCUACUAAUUGAGUUUACUUUGAAUGAAUGUGAAUUUGUUUUAAAUCACUCGUAUAUGUUUACGGACAGAAUUGGACGACACGAAGUCCUGUUAUCAGAAUGCAAACGACGACGGCAACCAGGACGUGGUAAACAGUUGUGGUAAACAUACCAAACGAGAUCUCUAGAGUACUAAAAAAAUACGUUCAACAAAUUAGGAAAUUUCUAUAAAGCUAAUAUUUUUAUUAGCGUGUUGGGGAGAGAUAAUUUACUCUCUUCUGUAGUCAGCGAAUCCUAUAUGUUCAAGACAUUGGCGCCGUUUUAGUCAAAUCAAACACUUACGAUGAAAGAAAACGUCAACACAUCGCUGUAACGUAAUUUCAAAAAGUAAAGGAAAUUAUUUAGACGGUUUGCGAUUCGGCAAAGCCAAUCGUAAUGAGAACAUUUCCAGGAGAAGACUGCAAGUCUCUCUAAAGAAGAAUUAAUUUUUUUAUUGGAAAGAUGAAAUCGAGAUAACAUCAGGGAAAGUGUAUUGAAGUUCUGUAAUGUUCA